CUAAAAAGUUAACUAUAGUUAGUGGAAACGUCAUCCAAUAAGAAGCGCGUAUUUGAGAGUUAUAAUCACUAUUUAACUAUAAAAUAGUGAUUAAAAAAGUGAUUAAGAGUUUUGUACAACCGGCCCCAGGCUUUUAGCUGUAGGAGCAAAAAAAAGAGCAAAUCAAGUCCGAUAAAAUUUGUUUGUCGAAAUUGCAUAUUAAUU